rnacentral:rRNA from 1 species
AACCUUUACACUGCACGACAGUGCGAUAAGGGAAUCCCAAGUGCGUAGGCAUAGAGCCUACGCUUUUGUCCACCGUAGGGAGGUGGACGAAUAAGGGCUGGGCAAGACCGGUGCCAGCCGCCGCGGUAAUACCGGCAGCCCGAGUGAUGGCCGAUCUUAUUGGGCCUAAAGCGUCCGUAGCUGGCCGCACAAGUCCAUCGGAAAAUCCACCCGCUCAACGGGUGGGCGUCCGGUGGAAACUGUGUGGCUUGGGACCGGAAGGCGCGACGGGUACGUCCGGGGUAGGAGUGAAAUCCCGUAAUCCUGGACGGACCGCCGAUGGCGAAAGCACGUCGCGAGAACGGAUCCGACAGUGAGGGACGAAAGCUAGGGUCUCGAACCGGAUUAGAUACCCGGGUAGUCCUAGCCGUAAACAAUGCCUGCUAGGUGUGGCUCCCACUACGAGUGGGUGCUGUGCCGUAGGGAAGCCGCUAGGCAGGCCGCCUGGGAAGUACGUCCGCAAGGAUGAAACUUAA